CUCCGCUGAUCAUUUCCCAGAACUUGGCAAUUCUUCUGCCUGCUCUGCUACGGCAAAAUCGUUGAGCGCCCACACAUCCUGCCGUCUAACAACUUUUUUUUGCAAAGCUGCAAUUAUCUACAAAGACGGAGAGGCAUUAGAUCAUAGUCUUCGGCCAGGCUGAACGCAACCGAGCCAAAACCUGGAGAAGGAGAAAGCAAAGGUUUGGGAAAGGAUUUUCCUGGCUAUUGAUGUCAAGCUGAUUGGUCUGAUUGGCCUAUGGUUUCCUGCAUCCGCCUUUCCCCCCUUUUGGAAGAUUGGAACCACAUCAGCUCUUUUCCAGUCCUCUGGCAGUUCCUCUGUGCUCCAGGAGCCCUGAAAGAUUUUGUCCAGUGGUUCUGAGAUCUCAUCUGGCAGCUCUUUCAGAACCCUGGAAUAUAAACAUCUGGUUCCGGCGAUUUGAACUCAUCUAGAAUGGAAAAUUUAUUUGCCAUCCAUCUUGUCUCCAACAACUCUGGAAUGCUACGGAGCAGCAGAAACACAGAAAGAG